rnacentral:rRNA from 1 species
CCUUAAAUCUAGCCCCCCCAUCACCCAUAUUGACCCAACCAUUUAUAAAAACUAAUAAAACAUUUUUAAGUUAUAGUAGAGGUGAUCAAAAUAACUCUAAGAGCUUUAGAUAAAGUACCGCAAGGGAAGGAUGAAAUAGAAAUGAAACAACCACAAAGCCUUUCAUAGCAGAGACACCCCCUCGUACCUUUUGCAUCAUGGUCUAGCUAGCCUACCCAAGCAAAAUGUUGUUAAAGUUUGACAUCCCGAAACUAAGUGAGCUACUUCAAAACAACCUCAGGGCCAACCCGUCUCUGUUGCAAAAGAGUGGGAAGAUUUUCAAGUAGAAGUGAAAAGCCUACCGAACUUAGUGAUAGCUGGUUGUUCAAGAAAAGAGUCUUAGCUCUCCCUUAAGUUUUACUAUUAUACCAAAAACCUAAUUAAACUUAAGAGCCAUUCAAAUAAGGCACAGCUUGUUUGAAAUAGGAUACAACCUCUGAUAUAGGGUAAAUACGGGAACUGUUAAUAAAGUUGGCCUGAAAGCAGCCACCUUUAAAAAGGCGUCAAAGCCUCAUUAUAAUAACCCACAAUUUCACCAAUUAUUUUGAACCCUAACAUGGUAUUGAACUACUUUAUAUAUUUAUAAAAGGAAUAAUGCUAGAACUAGUAAUAAGAAGAAGACCUUCUCCUCAAUGUCAGUAUAAGCCAUAACGGACACACCAAUGGCCAUUAACGCCAAUGAACACAAUAUAGUAACACCGGACUAGAAAACCCUAUUAUCAAUAACGUUAACCUUACACAAGCACAUUACAGUGAAAGAUUUAAAGAGCAAGAAGGAACUCGGCAAAUAUUAAUCCCGCCUGUUUACCAAAAACAUCGCCUCUUGAUUAAAUAUAAGAGGUCCAGCCUGCCCAGUGACAAAGUUUAACGGCCGCGGUACCCUAACCGUGCGAAGGUAGCAUAAUCACUUGCUCUUUAAAUGGGGGCUAGUAUCAAAGGCAUCACGAGGGUUACGCUGUCUCCUUUCUCUAAUCAAUGAACCUGAUCUCUUCGUGAAGAAGCGAAGAUAAUAAUAUAAGACGAGAAGACCCCAUGGAGCUUCAAAUUAAGCCUACAUCCAAACAGGUAAUUAGACCCAUUUAACCCGUUAGAACUGUAUGCUAGUUUUAGGCUGGGGCGACCGUGGAGAACAGCAAAACCUCUAUGACGAACGGAUUAACACCCUAAUACAAGAGCUACUCCUCUAAUAAUCAACACAUUGACGUAAGUUGACCCGACAAUCGAUCAACAGACCAAGUUACCCUGGGGAUAACAGCGCAAUCUACUUCGAGAGCCCAUAUCGACAAGUAGGUUUACGACCUCGAUGUUGGAUCAGGGUAUCCCAGUGGUGCAGCCGCUAC